rnacentral:rRNA from 1 species
GACGAACGCUGGCGGCGUGCUUAACACAUGCAAGUCGAACGGAAAGGCCCUGCUUUUGUGGGGUGCUCGAGUGGCGAACGGGUGAGUAACACGUGAGUAACCUGCCCUUAACUUUGGGAUAACUUCAGGAAACUGGGGCUAAUACCGGGUAGGAGCUCCUGCUGCAUGGUGGGGGUUGGAAAGUUUCGGCGGUUGGGGAUGGACUGGCGGCUUAUCAGCUUGUUGGUGGGGUAGUGGCUUACCAAGGCUUUGACGGGUAGCCGGCCUGAGAGGGUGACCGGCAACAUUGGGACUGAGAUACGGCCAAGACUCCUACGGGAGGCAGCAGUGGGGAAUAUUGCACAAUGGGCGGAAGCAUGAUGCAGCAACGCAGCGUGCCGGAUGACGGCCUUCGGAUUGUAAACCGCUUUCGCCUGUGACGAAGCGUGAGUGACGGUAAUGGGUACAGAAGCACCGGCUAACUACGUG